ensembl:snRNA U6 U6 spliceosomal RNA
GUGCUCACUUUUGGCAGCAUAUACACUAAAAUUGGAACAAUACAGAGAAGAUUAGCAUAGUAUCUGAGCAAGCAUGACACACAAAUUCAUGAAGCAUUUCAUACUUUU